AGAGUUUGAUCCUGGCUCAGGAUCAACGCUGGCGGUGCGCCUUAUGCAUGCAAGUCGAACGGUCUCGAUUUAUCGAGAUAGUGGCGUACGGGUGAGUAACACGUAAGUGACCUACCCUUAAGUAGAGAAUAACUCCGAGAAAUUGGGGCUAAUGCUUUAUGUGCUAGUUUAGGUAGUGCUUUAUUAGUAAAGUCUUCGGACGCUUAGGGAUGGGCUUGUGGCCGAUUAGCUUGUUGGUGGAGUAACGGUCUACCAAGGCCAUUAUCGGUAGCUGGUUUGAGAGGACGGUCAGCCAUACUGGGAUUGAGAUACGGCCCAGACUCCUACGGGAGGCAGCAGCAAGGAAUUUUGUGCAAUGGGCGAAAGCCUGACACAGCGACACCGCGUGGGGGAUGAAGGCUUUCGAGUCGUAAACCCUUUUUUAUCAGGGAAGAAUAAUGACGGUACCUGAUGAAUAAGUCUCGGCUAACUACGUGCCAGCAGCCGCGGUAAUACGUAGGAGGCAAGCGUUAUCCGGAAUUAUUGGGCGUAAAGAGGGCGUAGGCGGUCUUUCAAGUCGGAUGUAAAAUCUCCCAGCUCAACUGGGAGGGAUCAUUUGAUACUGUUAGACUAGAGGGCAGCAGGGGGAGGUAGAAUUCCCGGUGUAGUGGUGGAAUGCGUAGAUAUCGGGAGGAAUACCAGUAGCGAAGGCGGCCUCCUGGGCUGUUGCUGACGCUGAGGCCCGAAAGCGUGGGGAGCGAACAGGAUUAGAUACCCUGGUAGUCCACGCCGUAAACGAUGGACACUAGGUAUGGGGAGUAUCGACCAUCUCUGUGCCGUAGCUAACGUUUUAAGUGUCCCGCCUGGGGAGUACGGCCGCAAGGCUAAAACUCAAAGGAAUUGACGGGGGCCCGCACAAGCAGCGGAGCGUGUGGUUUAAUUCGAUUCAAAGCGAAGAACCUUACCAAGGCUUGACAUGUCGGAAGUAGCGAACCGAAAGGUAAGCGACCUGUUGAAUCAGGAGCCGUCACAGGUGCUGCAUAGUUGUCGUCAGCUCGUGCCGUGAGGUGUUAGGUUAAGUCCUGUAACGAGCGCGACCCUCGUUGCCAGUUGAUUUCUCUGGCGAGACUGCCCCGUAAAACGGGAGGAAGGUGGGGAUGACGUCAAAUCAGCACGGCCCUUAUGCCUUGGGCUACACACACGCUACAAUGGAUGGUACAAUUGGUUGCAAGGGAGCGAUCCGGAGCUAAUCCUAAGAGCCAUCCUCAGUUCGGAUUGCAGACUGAAACUCGCCUGCAUGAAGUUGGAGUUGCUAGUAACCGCAGGUCAGCACACUGCGGUGAAUGCGUUCUCGGGCCUUGUACACACCGCCCGUCACGUCAUGAAAGUUGGCAACACCUGAAGUCGAUGGGCUAACCCCGAUUUAUCGGGGAGGUAGUCGCCGAGGGUGGGGUUGAUGAUUGGGACGAAGUCGUAACAAGGUA
rnacentral:rRNA from 1 species